GGAGCCGUGCCUGAAUGCCCAAGGAUCACUUUGAUAGAGUGAACUACGGGGGUUAGACUCCCCCCGACUCCU
rnacentral:tRNA from 1 species